AUGAGAGUUUGGCGCAUGUUCAAAGAUUGGCUGGGUCUCCAUAAUGUGCAUUCUAGUGAUUGGAGUGACGCGACUUCUGUUAAAGAGUGGUGGAGCCACAAUGCUACCAAGAAGACACAAUCACGAAAACCACUUGCUUCUUUGAUGCUUCUUAUCUCUUGGGAGUUGUGGAAUGAGAGGAAUGCGCGGAUCUUUCGUAAUACUGCUGUCCCCGUUGGAGUUAUUGUUGCUAGGAUUAAAGAGAAAGCGUCACUUUGGAGCAUGGCGGGGGCGAGGCACUUGAGUAACAUAAUGCCGCAAGAGUGA
rnacentral:rRNA from 1 species